GGAAACGUAGAGGAUGUAGCCGGA
rnacentral:siRNA from 1 species